CCAUCGUUCUACACGAGAAAUUUCUACGUUUCGUUCACAUUAAUAGAAAAAUAAGCAAGAAGCCAACAAAGGAUACCCUAGACUGUUACAUAUUUAGACCACGAUAUAUUAUGUCCAUGAAAAUUGUAAAAUUUUAAUAUUGAAAACAUUCUAACCGCAAUAUAUUUACUACUUUUUACCGUUUUAACCAUUGAUUUAUAUAAAUGUAUGGCAAAUUUCAAUAAACGCCAUAUAGAAUCAAACACAAA